rnacentral:rRNA from 1 species
UGCCCGCAAGGAAAUGUAGUGAGAGGUGCUGCAUGGCUGUCGUCAGCUCGUGUUGUGAAAUGUUGGGUUAAGUCUCGCAACGAGCGCAACCCCUAUCGUCUGUUGCCAGCAUUAAGUUGGGCACUCUGACGAGACUGCCUGGGUUAACCAGGAGGAAGGUGGGGAUGACGUCAAGUCCUCAUGGCCCUUAUGUCUAGGGCUACACACGUAAUACAAUGGCGCGUACAGAGGGAAGCGAACUCGCAAGGGGGAGCAAAUCUCAAAAAGCGCGCCUCAGUUCGGAUUGGAGUCUGCAACUCGACUCCAUGAAGUUGGAAUCGCUAGUAAUCGGAGAUCAGCACGCUCC